UGGGGAAUUUUGCACAAUGGGGGAAACCCUGAUGCAGCGACGCCGCGUGAUUUAGAAGGCCUUCGGGUUGUAAAAAUCUUUUCUAUGGGAAGAAAAUGACAGUACCAUAGGAAUAAGGACCGGCUAAUUACGUGCCAGCAGCCGCGGUAAUACGUAAGGUCCGAGCGUUGUCCGGAAUCAUUGGGCGUAAAGGGUACGUAGGCGGGUAAGCAAGUUAGAAGUGAAAUCCUAUAGCUCAACUAUAGUAAGCUUUUAAAACUGCUCAUCUUGAGGUAUGGAAGGGAAAGUGGAAUUCCUAGUGUAGCGGUGAAAUGCGGAGAUAUUAGGAGGAAUACCGGUGGCGAAGGCGACUUUCUGGCCAUAACCUGACGCUGAGGUACGAAAGCGUGGGUAGCAAACAGG
rnacentral:rRNA from 1 species